rnacentral:rRNA from 1 species
UACGAAGGGGGCUAGCGUUGUUCGGAAUUACUGGGCGUAAAGCGCGCGCAGGCGGUUCUUUUAAGUCAGGGGUGAAAGCCCAGAGCUCAACUCUGGAAUUGCCUUUGAAACUAGAGAACUUGAGUACGGGAGAGGUGAGUGGAAUUCCGAGUGUAGAGGUGAAAUUCGUAGAUAUUCGGAAGAACACCAGUGGCGAAGGCGGCUCACUGGCCCGUUACUGACGCUCAGGCGCGACAGCGUGGGGAGCAAACGAGGA